GGGCUCUACUAUUACGUCCGGUCGAUCCGUCAAAACAAAUGUCUUGGGCUCGCUCACAUAAUCGGCGAUUAUUUUUAGAUAAUUUUGCGUAUUAUUUGUACAAAUGUGUUAAAUAACAGAUAGAUAAUGUUAGUUAAAGGUUUUCGGGGCGUUAGGACGUACAGGGCUCAUAAAUGUAUAGGUGUAGUAUCGCGAGAAUUUUCCAGUCGAUUAGACGCUUUGGACCAUGAAGAACGGUUGGAGGGUUGUCUUUCGGCUUUGCCUCCGAAGGCUAAAGUGGUGAUAUGUGGGGGCGGGAUGAUGGGGGCAGCCGUGGCGUACCACCUCGCGCGCCGCGGCUGGGGCGACCAAACCAUCGUCGUAGAAAAAGAAAAAGUUGGCAUCGGCAGUCGCUGGCAUUCCUCAGGACUGGUCGGUGCCUUCAAGCCUACCCUUGCUCAAGUGCGUCUGACUCAGUCUUCUAUAAGGCUCCUGCAAGAGCUUGAGGCUAAAGGCAGAGCUACUGGCUGGAAGCAAUGUGGGUCCCUACUGCUGGCAAGAAACCGUGAUCGCAUGACCGUGUACAGAAGAAUGAAGAGUCAAUCUGUAUCUUGGGGUAUACCAUGCGAACUGGUCUCCCCAAAACGAUGUCAGGAGUUGUGGCCUCUUCUAAACGUGGACGACGUCUUGGGCGGGCUGUGGAUACCCGGAGAUGGGGUAGGAGACCCACACUUACUCAACAUGGCGCUGAUGAGAGAAAGUGUCCAAAGUGGUGUGGGGGUAAUGGAAGAUUGCGCCGUUACCGCAGUACUGUCGAAGAACGAUCGUGUCUGCGGCGUGGAAACGAAUCGGGGUGCCAUCGAAUGCGAAUACUUCGUCAAUUGCGCUGGAUUUUGGGCUAGAAAGGUUGGCCAGUUGGCACGGCCGCAAGUUAAAGUCCCGCUGUUACCCUGCGAGCACUACUACCUUCAUACGAAGCCUAUUGACAACUUAGAUCCGAUGACCCCAGUUAUCCGUGAUCCGGACGGCUACAUUUACCUGCGAGAGAGAGAUGGUUGCAUCCUUGCCGGUGGCUUCGAACCUAUAGCUAAACCCGUGUACGAAGAAGAAAUAACAUCAAUGGCCCAGCGUUGCGUGCCUGAAGACUGGGACCAUUUCCACGUACUUCUACAACAACUGCUGAAACGAGUGCCGAGUCUCUCGCAGGCGGUGCUGCACAAACUCUGCAACGGCCUCGAAGCAUUCUCCCCGGAUUGCAAGUGGAUUGUGGGAGAAGCACCUGAGAUGUUCAACUACCACGUAGCGGCUGGUAUGAAGACUGUAGGCAUAUCAGCCGCAGGCGGGGUGGCUGAAGCGACGGCCGAUGAGAUAGUCGACGGCUACUCGAAAUAUGACAUGUAUGAACUCGGACUUAACCGGUUUCUGGGCCUACAUAACAAUAAGAGGUUCUUGAGAGACCGGGUUAAAGAGGUGCCUGGUGUCCACUACGGCCUUCCGUAUCCGUUUCAAGAGUUCGAAACGGGUCGUAACCUCCGACUGUCGCCGAUCUACCCGACUUUGCGCGACAAUGGCGCCGUGUUCGGACAAGUCAUGGGCUACGAAAGACCUACGUGGUUCGAAACUGUUGAUCCAAAAGAGGCGUCGGACAAGCCCCGCCCAUUUAAGGUGGCGUACACGAAGACUUUCAACAAGCCACAUUGGUUCGACACGGUGCAGAGAGAGUACUGGGCUUGUAGGGAACGAGUGGGAUUAGCUGAUUACUCCUCGUUUACUAAGAUUGAUAUACAGUCUCAAGGUCGAGAAGUAGUGGACCUACUCCAGUACCUAUGCUCCAACGAUGUGGAUGUCCCAGUCGGCAGUAUCAUACAUACGGGCAUGCAGAACGAACGCGGCGGCUAUGAGAACGAUUGCAGUCUCGCCAGGGUCUCUGAGAAUCUCUACAUGAUGAUAGCUCCAACGAUACAACAGACCCGUUGCAAGGCCUGGCUCAAACGCCACCUACCCGCAAACGGUUCAGUGACUCUCUCUGAUGUCACAUCCAUGUACACAGCCAUUUGUAUCAUGGGACCUUUUACAAGAAACCUGCUUUCUGAACUGACGGAUACUGAUCUUUCGCCGUCCAAGUUUCCUUUCUUUACCUUUAAAGAAAUCGAUGUGGCUUUAGCGAAUGGUGUGAGAGCGAUGAAUUUGACGCAUACGGGGGAACUGGGAUAUGUCCUGUAUAUUCCUAAUGAGUUCGCCCUCCACGUGUACAACCGCUUAAUGACGAUAGGCGAGAAGUACGGCAUCUCUCACGUCGGCUACUACGCGUCGAGGGCACUUCGCGUGGAGAAGUUCUUCGCGUUCUGGGGUCAGGACCUCGACACCAUGACAACGCCGCUGGAGUGCGGCCGUACUUGGCGGGUCAAGUUCGAUAAAGACAUAAAAUUCAUUGGUCGCGACGCCCUUCUCCGACAGCGGGAGGAAGGUAUUCGUCGGCAAUACGUACAACUCUUGCUGACCGACCAUGAUCAUGAACUGGACAUGUGGUCUUGGGGCGGGGAGCCUAUAUAUAGAGACGGGAAUUAUUGCGGACAAACUACUACUACUAGUUAUGGGUUUACCUUUAAAAAACAGGUAUGCCUCGGUUUCGUCGAAAACUUAGAUAAAAAUGGAGUCCCGCAACGUAUCACGAACGACUACGUGCUCAGCGGACAUUAUGAAAUAGAUAUCGGCGGUAUCAGAUACGCAGCCAAACUGAAUUUGCACUCUCCGAACUUGCCGACAAAAUACCCGGAUAAGGAACGCGACGUAUACCAAGCGACGAGAAAGCUGCACGAACCACAACAGUUCUUAGGACGUCACUAUCAACCGUAAAUGUAAGAUUUUCACGACCAGGCACUGUUUCCAAAUCUUAGGCAAACUGACUUUUCUCACUGGUUAAUUUAACGUUUAUUACAAAAUUUGGUAUUUUUUAAAUGUCAAAGUUUUAGAAAACUGAGCGCACCUUAGUACAAUGCCACUUCCAGUUGCUCGUAUUCCUGGUGUUUGUUUAUCGUUUACCCUACAGUUUCUUGAUUUUAAGUAUUAUUUAAUUGUUUGCGGUAGUUAAGUAAAAAAAGUGUUAUUGACUGUGCGCAACCACAAACGUUUUUGUAAAUUAAUUCUAAGAUUUCUCAUGUAAGUGAAUUUAUAAUUCUUAUGGGAAAAUAAAUAUAUCUCAAACCCGAAAGUGUGAUAGGAGACAAGUUGUAAAGGGCAUUGCUAACUUUAAAUUUGAUUUGUCGCAGCUCAAAGUACUGACACUCUUUUAGAAAAGGAUAUUGUUUCGUAUUCAGUGUGCGGCUACUGUUUAUAAUGAUGUUUGAUACGUUCAGAAAAAAUACUUCAUAAGCUUCCGAAUAUUAAAAAAAAAUGUUGCUUCCAUUAUUUUCUAAAAUAUUAGUCAUUAUUGUUUAAGUCAUUUUCAUUACAAAUAUCAAAAUAAGUAAAAAACCGCUCAAAGUACGUAAAUCACUGUAGAUAAAGUCCAGUUAUUUAUAUAUUUAUGCUAAGAAUAGAAAAUACUUAUCGCUUUCAGGGGUAUUGGGUUGCCCGGGUAACUGGGUCGAGGAGGUCAGAUAGACAUUCGCUCCUUGUGAAACACUGGGACUCAGCUGCACCCGGUUAGACUGGAAAACGACCCCAACUUAGUUGGGAAGGGCUAGACAGAUAAUUUAUAAGGUGUUAUAUAAUAAGUGAUUUAUAUGCCAUACUAAACUCGUUUAAAAUGUACCAUUUUAAGUAAAAAGUUACUCAUAAAAAGUCUUUCUCAAAGAAAAUGAAGGAUAAAUAAAUAUAAUAAGCAUUACGAGAUUAUUAGACUAAGGGCCGAUUUUUCAAUUGUCAGAUAAACAAACAGAUAGGGUAUAUUCGAGAGAUAGCGAAGUUGAUGAAUUUUUCAAUGGUCGAGUAAGACCUAUUGGACGAAUAAAUCCUUAUCUGAGGAAUUAAUUUAUUUGCCGCCUUGACCGCCAGGUAAGUACUAUUCGAUUGAUAAUUUGACGCAGAUGACGUUUUAGUUUGAAGUUAUUUCUUGCGCUAUUAACAAUUUAUCAAUUUAUUAUGGAUAUUUUCGAUAAUAUUGAUGACUUGGCUAUCGAAGAAGAGACUUUAAUAAAUGAAUAUAUAAAUCCACCCGAAAGAAAAGAAAGAAUAAUCCGCCCAAGGCCUGAAAGUUAUUUCUUGCGCUAUUAACAAUUUAUUAUGGAUAUUUUCGAUAAUAUUGAUGACUUGGCUAUCGAAGAAGAGACUAUAAUAAAUGAAUAUAUAAAUCCACCCGAAAGAAAAGAAAGAAUAAUCCGCCCAAGGCCUGAUCACUUUAGGAUUUGGGAUUCAAAAGAAUUUCAUCGCAGAUUCAGACUUCGGAAAGAGUCGGUGCAAUAUUUACUUUCCCUAAUUGAAAAUAAAAUCAAGCACCAAACAGAAAGAAAUCAGUGUAUUUCACCCAUGUUGCAGUUAUUAAUUGCACUGCGAUUUUAUGCCACUGGAAGUUUUUACAUAACUGUUGGUGAUUUUGGUGGUAUUCAUAGUUCCACUAUGUGCCGUAUUAUUAAAAAAGUUACUGAAGCUAUAGCAUCUUUAAGAACAAUAUUCAUAAACUUGCCAAGAAGUGACGAAGACAUCAGAAGCACUCAACUAGAAUUUUAUAAAAUAGCCAGAUUCCCUAGAGUAGUAUCGGCUAUAGAUGGCACCCAUAUUAGGAUUCAGUCGCCUGGUGGUAACACUGCAGAAGAAUUCAGGAAUAGAAAAGGAUUCUUUUCGUUUAAUGUUCAAGCAAUGUGUUCAGCAGACUUGAUGUUUCAAGAUAUAGUUGCACGUUGGCCUGGCUCUACCCAUGAUUGCAUGAUAUUUGCCAAUUCACAUGUGAAAUACCACUUUGAGAAUGGUGAAUUUGGCAAUGGAAUUAUACUUGGAGAUAGUGGUUAUGAACUAACUAAUUACCUACUCACUCCUUUUCAAAAUCCAGACACACCAACUAAGACUUUAUAUAAUGAAUCACAAAUUCGAACACGGAAUGUUAUUGAAAGGUGCUUUGGAGUUUGGAAAAGACGGUUUCCAGUCCUAAGUAUAGGAUUAAGGUGUAGGCUGCCGCUUGCACAAGAUGUGAUUGUAGCCUGUGCUGUACUACACAACUUGGCAAGAUCAAAAAAUGAGGAGGAACCUCCAGUGGACCCAGAAUUGCAUAUUCCACCACAGCCUAUAUUUCCACCCGCUAUAGCCGAUUUUACUGGUGAUGAAAGGUGCCAUACUAGGAACUUAAUCUUAAUAAAUUAUUUUCAUGCCUUACCUACUGAAUAAUCUAGGGCAGCCAAGCUCAAUUUUUCAACAGUUUUACUACAUAUAAUCUUUAUAUUCAUUCAAUAGAAAUUUAUGUUUAUCAUAUGUGCAAUUUCUUUUUCAAUUAAUGUUACAUAAUAAAAACAUUGGUAUUUUAUUAAAGUCAAGUUUUUAUUUUUCAAAAUAAUGAACAAAAAUCUAAGUCAUGGUAUUUGGAACUGCUCCACAAUUACACCCAUUUUGUUUUAAUUGUAAUGAGUGUAAUUCUUCUUUUCUUCUCUCAUCAUUAGCUAAAUGCAACAUUUUCAGUUUAUGCUCCUCCUCCAUAAACUGGUGCUCAAGUUUGGCAGUCUUCAUUUGGAGCUGUACUAGCUCCAGUCGAGCUUCGCUUAAUUUGUCUAGUUUGGCGGUGACACUAGCUUUGGAGACAUUUGGUUUUAAUACAUUGGACACCCUUGAUUUUAAAGCCUUUGGGUGCCAUUUGUCCCAAUUAUUUUCUGAAAGUAAUACAACAACAAUUACAUACAAUACAUUACAUGAAAGUAUACCUACAUUUAGUAUGGGCUUAUGGGCUAAUUAAACAUAACAUGUUUCAUUUGUUUGGUUUAUUAUUAGAUAUCAAAACACAAUCUGUAGUACCCUACUAUAAUCUUACAACCUGCCUGCAAGCAUAAAUUAUAAAUUAUGGCCUCAUAGAAUGCUCCUUAAAAUAAAAUAACUGAAUUUAAGAACAUCUGACUUUUAUAGACAUAUACCUUUUUGAUUGUCCUCAACAAUUUCCCCGAUGGCCAAAUCAACUACUGGAUGGGGUUGGAAUGAAUUUUCUGGUAUUUCUUCUAUUUCAAAAAUAAUAUUACUAUCUUCAACUUCUUCCAGAGGAGUAGAUUCUGAAAAAUAUUAUUACAUGUGAGCUUUUGCACUUUAAAUAGUAACUGGUAACCAAAAACAUGCCAAUACUUACUUGAAAUAGUGUCACUGUCGUGACGUGGCUCAAGUCCUGUUAUGUUCGAGCAGAUGCUAAGCACCUUUUCAUCGAUUUCACUGAAUUCUGGAGCUUUUGAAGGCCCUCCUCCAGUUUUGUACAUCUCUUGCCUUUGCAGAGAAGAUUUCUUUUUUGUGUUUUUUUUUAUACCCUCGUAUUUCAAUUUGAGGGUCUUCCACGAUCGGGCAUUUGUGGACACUCCACAGGAGUUAAAAUUCUCUUCUAUUUGCCUCCAGGCUGCCUCCUUAUCCUUAUUAGUAACGGCAUCAGUUUUUUUAUUUUCAACAAUAUUUUUAAAUUUUGCCACUAAAUUAAUUAGGAGCUGAAUUUCAGCAGAAUCAAAAUUGGCUGAGCGCUCUCGUUUUUUGUUUUCCAUUAUUUUACUUUAUGUUUUUCACAAAAUCAAAAACAACUCAAACUGAACUGGCUAUUUUUAACCUAAAAAUUAUAGACGGAUAAUUUGACAGGAUAGAAAAAAGUCUGUCUCUGUCUAAUGCAUUGCUUAGCGAUAUAUUUGUUUCACUUCUCAAAAGCUUAAAAUGCUAGAGUUGAAAUAUUGGAUCAAAACGUUAUUCAUGCAAUAAAUUACUAAUGAAAAAUCGACGAGCAUCUAUUCGUCUGUAUAAACAGUCCAAUAACGUUAUUCCUUAGAAUAGUUAUUAGGCAUUUUAUCUGAUGAUUGAAAAAUCGGCCCUAAAUAAAUAAUAAAGACAGGCUUGUAUUAAAGUCUUAAUAAAGUUAUUAGAAAUGGAGCGGGCCAAAAUAUGCCUUUAUUUGUGGAAUCAUAUGUUAUGAACUCGGUUUGAGAAACCAUGUUAUAAAAUUUAAUGGUGGUACUAAAAUUACGUACAAUUUUAGCUUAUUGGAGAUUUGUAAAUUGAAAAGUUAAAAAUAUGCCAAAAUAAGAAGUGGAUUUAUUCUUUUUACAUAAGUAUUUAAUUACAAAUUUUAUUUAAAUAUAUUAUGUACAUAUUUACAUGACGUAAAAAAAGCCUUAUUUAUACAUAUAUACAACUAAAAAAUGGCAUCAAAAAACUCCUCAUCGCUGCCCACCGGGAGUGUACCCAAGAGACUGGCAGCAUUGCCAUUUAUUCUUUUGUAUUUCUAUUUAUUUUUGUUUUUAUAAAGUUAUGGUAUUUGUAUAUAAUAUUAUUUCGAGACUUCUCUGUGGUCUGUUUUGCGAAAUAAUUUGUUUUUGAGAUUAUUAUGAUAAGAUCUAUAAUAUAAAAAUGAAUCGCAAAAUGUGUUGGUAAGCGCAUAACUCAACAACGCCUGGACCAAUUUGGCUAAUUCUUUUUUUGUUGUGUUUGUUAUUGUCAGGAGAAGGUUCUUAUGAAAAAAAAAAAUAGGGUAAAGUAGAGAAGUCAGUUGACGGGAGCGAAGCCGCAGGUAAAAGCUAGUUUUGUAUAAAAAUCACCUGCAGAUGCAGUUUGAACAUUUUUACUUAAGCAAAUUGUAUUAUAUAAAUGUAAAAUCAAGCAUGUACAUAGAUACAGCCAAAAUAUUUAAAUUUGUAAACAGUAAUGUAAUGUAUAACUAAAUAUUUAAUAUUGAAUGGAGAAAAGACUUACCUGCUCUUUCUUUGGCAGCCGAAUAUGAACUUAUAAAGGUACGUUCUGAAUGCCAGCUGCCGAUCGCACUUUCCGCUUUGAUUCAAAACGGUUUCAUGUAAAUACUAAAUACAUACAACCCAGUAGUGCAGCUGCGGCCGAGUUCAUGCAGAUGCGGGACUUGCGGUCGGCAGUUGGCACUUAAAACGUACCGUAAUACGGUAACACUAAGUAGUUAAGAGAACUUGGAUGUUAAUCUCCAUUGUAAAUUAGCGAUGUUGCCAGAUCGCCUUCCAUUCACUUAAACCCUAAUUUUUUAUAAGAUCAAUACACGCUGAUGAACUUUAGUAUAAAUACAUUCAUUAGAUUUCAAACCAUACAAUUAAAAUGUGUCCAAUGUUUUAAUUAUCUACUAAAGGAUGUACCCAAAAUUCUUUCCAUCUGUUGAUUUGCUUGAUAUAAUGAUAUCAUUUUAAAAUUAGCACCAAAUAUGCAAUGCUUUUCUAUCUCUAGUAACCAGAACAAUAGAUAGAUAGAAUAUUGGGAAUCACCAUUACUAGAUCUGGCAAGUGUAAAUUUAUGCAUCUAAUAUUACAUUUUACUGUACAUACACCGUAAGCUAUAGAGCACCAUGGAGAACAAAAUGACUAGCGGAGAUGUCAUAACAGAAAAUCCAAGAAAGUAGCGCGCCAAAAUGUCCACCGUACGUAUUUGAUCUAGAUGAAGGCGCCUGGCUUACCUGCAUUGUGGCAUCUCCACUCAUUUUUCUUUACUCCUUGUAGUACCUAAGAUAAGCGUUUCAGUUCUGAGUUUUCAACGAAAUUCGCUUUAUUUCUGUAACACACAGACCAUGUUUAGGUUGUUCAUAACAAGGAAAUAGAACCUCGCCAUAGCUUAUACAAAACCGCGUAUUGCAAUAGACUAGUUACUAUAGUUAAUAUUCACUUACAUAUUAUGUAGAAUACAGUAGUUACUCAAAUACUUACCAAAAUGUCCAUUAUUUAUCACUUUAAGCAAUGUAAUAGUACUGUAAAAGUAAAAAAAAAAAACUGUAAAUUUGUUGUUCUAUUUUUAACUAAAUUUUCUUGAAACUUUAGGAUGUGAUUAAGUUAACUUAACGAAUGUUCAUUCUAUCUUCACCUAUAGAAUUCUUUUAAAGAGUACAAGGAAGAAGUGUUUCCAAUGCAAACGGAUAUUUGUUGUAGUCAACUGAAUUUUAUUAUGUCCCUAGUUUCUCCCUGUUGUACACUCUAACGCCUUGCAACAUACAACAUUUGUUGCAAAAGCUGAUUAAUAUUGUUGAUUACCAACGAGAAUUUGAUGGAAAUAAGUACGUUACUGCAUUAGAAUAAGGUAUAUUUUGGACUUUAGCCCACUCCAGGCUAAAAUUAAGCUUGGAUGGAUGAUAAUAAACUAUUUUUACAAGCAUAACACACAUUUCUUAGCAUGAAGGAAAAAUUGUUGUCAACUUUCUUAUAUUUUCUGUUUUUUUUUAUAGAUAGUCAAAUGUUUUAGGCGUGUAGUAUAUAAAUGGCGUGUAAAAUAGCUAUUAGCGAAUAAGAAAUGAUGUCUUGCCAUUAUUGUUUUGAGCUAUUUUGUUUGUAGAUAGGAACUUCUAAUAUUUUCGCCGUAAU
rnacentral:misc_RNA from 1 species